rnacentral:tRNA from 1 species
AAGGACUUAAGUUAAAUAAACUGAGAGCUUCAAAGCUUUAAAUAAGAAUGAAAAUUUCUUAGUCCUUG